rnacentral:tRNA from 1 species
GGGGUUGUAGCUCAGUGGUAAGAGCACUCACCUAGCAUGUGCGAGGCCCUGGGUUUGAUCCUCAGCACCA